AACCUACAUUAAACUUAAUAAUUGAUUUGUUUCUACCUCUCAGCCUGCUCGUCAACCGUUAGUCAAGAAAACAGUAACAAAGAGACGUGAUCUAAUCAAACCAAACGGUUCUACUGCUACAGAUGAUAAAUUUCAGAGAUUGCAGGUACACAUUAGAAAUGCUGUCAAUGGUUUACCUUAUUUGCAGUUUGUGCUAGUCUGUUGUAUUACAUAGUACAUAUCAUAGUAUAUAGGUUGGUUUAGUAGCUUUACCACCGUCUGUGUCAACCAAAGUAGGAUCAUCAAGGUCUUAUACGGUUCGUUCAGAACUUGAAGCCCUUGAAUAAUUGAAUUUGAUGAAAAAUUCAAGGCCUUGAAUUCAAAGUCCUUGAAUUUAUAACGAAGUGCUUGAAAGUCCUUGAAUUCUUUUAGGUUUUGGAUAUUUUCUGAAAUUGUUUGAUAUAAAAUUGAAUUGUUGAAUUGAUUUCAUGUCUUAUAAAGUUGUUUGAAAUUAACCGAAAUUGCCAUUUUUAAAUUGUCAAUGGUAUUAUGGUAAUAGGGUGUUGAAUCUGAGUGACGAACCAUACCGGUCAUGCAGAGAAAACUCUACUUGGCCCGGCUGGGAUUCGAACCCGCGACCUUCGGUUCUCUGCAUGACCGGUAUGGUUCGUCACUCGGAUUCAACACCCUAUUACCAUUAAUACCAUUAAUAGAGAAUAUAUUGGAAAUUUGCAUUGAAUGCCCGGGCAUGCAUGCCCGUCAAGCCUCGAUCCCAUGCGAAUCCCCAUUCGACAUUUGCUACGCUUCAGUACCAUACGGUUGAAGUGGAAAACGGCACUCACACCGUCUGUUUGUUUUAUGCUAUCUGUUUUAGGAGAACUUUUUCGGGCGACGUUUGUUAAUGUCUACGUCGACAAUGUCAGAGAACAUACCACAUCCCCAGGCUUCUUCAUCUAUAAUUGUUGCGCAGAAUGAUAUCACGGAGCCUGCAUGUCAACCAGUUAAUUCAGUCAG
rnacentral:lncRNA from 1 species